GAAGCUGCUCUGACUCCAAUCCCUGGCGUAGGCCUUUGGCACCAGGCAGCAAAUUCAAGCUGGCCUACUUGGAAGAGACACUGCCAUGGAUCGCAUCUUGGACCUUCAGCGAACACAGGCCAAAUUUCCAGCCCCCCUGUCAACGUGGGCUCAUCCUCACAAUACGCUCCAUCCUGCUCCUGGUUAGUGAGCUCCAAGGCCUAGGCCUAAAAUUCUUGCCAACCGCCAGGCUUAACCAGGACUGUUUGGAGAAUCUGUUUUCCGUCAUCAGGGGAAAGGGGGGCCAUAGAUACAACCCCACUUCAAGGGAAUUUACAGUUGCCCUAAAAAGCACCUCAAUCGCAGCUUUCAUUGCCCCCCAAAAAACAAGCAACUGCAUAACACAUGAAACCACUGCCACACUUGUGAGCAGGAGGACCACCCAAGUCGACUCAAUGCCAAUCUCACAGAUGUGUAGCAAAAUGCAAGACAAAAGUAGAUAAUUGUUUGUCUGUAGCAUCAUCAUAAUCACAGCUCAUGCACCAAUCCAUGUACUUUUAAUACACCCAACAAUACAGUCUUGGUAGACUUAGUCAAAGUCAAAUUAAUAAUCAAGUCAAUGUUGUUACUAGUGUGUUUUAGAAACACUUCAGGAAGACAGUGAGGACAGUGAGUUGGUUGACACUGUAGCAUCAGCAACAACAGACGAAGUGGAAGAGGAAGUGCUG